AUUGAACGCUGGCGGCAGGCCUAACACAUGCAAGUCGAACGGUAACAGGAAGCAGCUUGCUGCUUUGCUGACGAGUGGCGGACGGGUGAGUAAUGUCUGGGAAACUGCCCGAUGGAGGGGGAUAACUACUGGAAACGGUAGCUAAUACCGCAUAACGUCGCAAGACCAAAGAGGGGGACCUUAGGGCCUCUUGCCAUCGGAUGUGCCCAGAUGGGAUUAGCUAGUAGGUGGGGUAACGGCUCACCUAGGCGACGCUCCCUAGCUGGUCUGAGAGGAUUACCAGCCACACUGGAACUAAGACACGGUCCAGACUCCUACGGGAGGCAGCAGUGAGGAAUAUUGCAAAAUGGGCGCAAGCCUGAUGCAGCCAAGCCGCGUGUAUGAAGAAGGCCUUCGGGUUGUAAAGUACUUUCAGCGGGGAGGAAGGGAGUAAAGUUAAUACCUUUGCUCAUUGACGUUACCCGCAGGAGAAGCACCGGCUAACUCCGUG
rnacentral:rRNA from 1 species